GGACUACCCGGGUUUCUAAUCCUGUUUGCUCCCCUUGCUCUCGCGCCUCAGCGUCUGGUAUUAACUAGAAAACCGCUUUCGCCACUGGUGUUCUUCCACAUAUCUACGCAUUUCACCGCUACACGUGGAAUUCCGUUUUCUCCGUCAACCCUCUAGAUCUGCAGUUUCAAAUGCAGCACCAAAGUUGAGCUUUGGUAUUUCACAUCUGACUUACAGUUCCGCCUACGCGCCCUUUACGCCCAAUAAUUCCGAUUAAUGCUUGCACUCUCCGUAUUACCGCGGCUGCUGGCAC
rnacentral:rRNA from 1 species